AACGCUGAAGCCGACAGCUUGCUGUUGGUGGAUGAGUGGCGAACGGGUGAGUAACACGUGAGUAACCUGCCCCUGAUUUCGGGAUAAGCCUGGGAAACUGGGUCUAAUACCGGAUACGACCACCUGACGCAUGUCGGGUGGUGGAAAGUUUUUCGAUCGGGGAUGGGCUCGCGGCCUAUCAGCUUGUUGGUGGGGUAAUGGCCUACCAAGGCGACGACGGGUAGCCGGCCUGAGAGGGCGACCGGCCACACUGGGACUGAGACACGGCCCAGACUCCUACGGGAGGCAGCAGUGGGGAAUAUUGCACAAUGGGGGAAACCCUGAUGCAGCGACGCAGCGUGCGGGAUGACGGCCUUCGGGUUGUAAACCGCUUUCAGCAGGGAAGAAGCGAAAGUGACGGUACCUGCAGAAGAAGUACCGGCUAACUACGUGCCAGCAGCCGCGGUAAUACGUAGGGUACGAGCGUUGUCCGGAAUUAUUGGGCGUAAAGAGCUCGUAGGUGGUUGGUCACGUCUGCUGUGGAAACGCAACGCUUAACGUUGCGCGUGCAGUGGGUACGGGCUGACUAGAGUGCAGUAGGGGAGUCUGGAAUUCCUGGUGUAGCGGUGAAAUGCGCAGAUAUCAGGAGGAACACCGGUGGCGAAGGCGGGACUCUGGGCUGUAACUGACACUGAGGAGCGAAAGCAUGGGGAGCGAACAGGAUUAGAUACCCUGGUAGUCCAUGCCGUAAACGUUGGGCACUAGGUGUGGGGGACAUUCCACG
rnacentral:rRNA from 1 species